rnacentral:tRNA from 1 species
GGGGAUGUGGCUCAGUGGCAAAAGCACUUGCCUAGCAUGUGUGAGGCCCUGAGUUCAAUCCCCAGCACUGCCA